ensembl:lncRNA
CAGGGCCUCAUGGUACAGCUGGAGAGCGAAUCAUACCCAGGAAGGAGAGACAGGAGAGUGCCUGCUGGCCCCUGGAACAAGAUCAAAUACUGGAGCCCAGCUCAGAGCUGGCAGUGCAGGUGAUGCCACGGCUAGCCACGGAUAUCUGUGAGGAGUAACCCAUGCGCUUCCUCGCAUCAGUGAACACUGCUCAGGGAGUGUAGAAGGAGGGCGGGGGAGCUGAGCCCACCUACCAGCUCAUCACGCAUCUUACACACUCACUCAUCCGGAUCGCAUUUUUCUCUGCAUUUUACUAAUUUAAUCCUCACUGCAGUGUUUCGCUGUUGGGUACAUCUCCAUCACGGACUUCAGCACGGCCUACACUUCUAGGAUUUACCGGGACCGCAAGGUCCCAUGCGCCCCCUCUCCUGGGAGAUGCUCUAGGAUUUGGGAUAAAAGUCAGACCUCACCGGUUUAUACCCCUCCUCGGCCCCGAAGCCUUCUCACUCUCCCUCUUCGUGUUGGGCCCAGUGCCAGGGAGACGCAGCCCCGCUGUUCCUGGAGAGUCUGGAUCAAAACCAGGGUGGGAGUCACCUCUUCUUCUAGCAAUGACUCCCCUCCCAGGCUUAAAAGCAUCAUCUAAAUUAAGCCGGAGGGGAGGGGCCAUCUGCUACUACAUUCUGUGUGUGGUCCCCUGCUGAAGCAUUUCCAGGAUCACUGAACUCCUGGGUGACAACAGGGACAGGACACCCCUGGCUUCACCUGAGGUGCUGGUGCUCUCACACAGGUAGGUCUUUGAAUCUAAGCAGUCAGCCCGCUAACCCUCACAGCCUCCCUGUCUCAUGGGAGCAUCUAUACAAACAGGGGUCCCUCCUGACCCUCCCACUCACUCCUCAGGAUUCAACACAUCUAGCUAGGCCUCCCUACCUUGGAUCCUCUGAAAUAGCAGAAUAAAUAUAAAAACACAUACUUAGAAGCCUGGAAA